GACGGGGGAUGCAAGCGUUAUCCGGAAUGAUUGGGCGUAAAGCGUCCGCAGGUGGCAGUUCAAGUCUGCUGUCAAAGACCGGGGCUCAACCUCGGAAAGGCAGUGGAAACUGAACAGCUAGAGUAUGGUAGGGGCAAAGGGAAUUCCUGGUGUAGCGGUGAAAUGCGUAGAGAUCAGGAAGAACAUCGGUGGCGAAGGCGCUUUGCUGGGCCGUAACUGACGCUGAGGAGCGAAAGCAUGGGGAGCGAACAGG
rnacentral:rRNA from 1 species